rnacentral:rRNA from 1 species
UACAGAGGGGGCAAGCGUUGUUCGGAAUUACUGGGCGUAAAGGGCGCGUAGGCGGCCUUCUAAGUCGAACGUGAAAUCCCUGGGCUCAACCCAGGAACUGCGUCCGAUACUGGAAGGCUUGAAUCCGGGAGAGGGAUGCGGAAUUCCAGGUGUAGCGGUGAAAUGCGUAGAUAACUGGAGGAACACCGGUGGCGAAGGCGGCAUCCUGGACCGGUAUUGACGCUGAGGCGCGAAAGCCAGGGGAGCAAACGGG